AAACGACUAUGAUGAAAUCAAGAAAUACCUAGAGAUGAGAUACAUAUCAACAACUGAAGCAUGCUGGCGGAUAUUCCAGUUUGAUCUACACCAUCGUGAUCCACCAGUAGAGAGACUGCCAUUCCACAUUGAAAAUGAACAACAAAUUAUUUUUCCAGACUCAACUGACAUCUAGAAGAUAGUAAGAAAGCCAGGAACCGCAGGUACUAAGUUCACUGAGUGGAUGGAGGCAAACAAAAUACAUGAGGUGGGAAAAGAAUUAACCUAUGCAGAAUUCCCAUCAAAAUUUGUAUGGAAAAGCGACACCAAAACUUGGGAGGAGCGGAAAAGAGGCUUUGCUAUUGGUAGAAUCUACUAUGCACACCCUGCAAGUGGAGAGCGGUAUUAUAUGAGAAUGCUUCUAAACACAAAGAAAGGAUGCACAUCAUUUGAGGAUAUUCGAACAGUUAAUGAAGUUGUUCACCCAACAUACAAAUCAGCAUGCCAGGCACUUGGUUUUCUUGAUGAUGAUAGUGAGUGCAUUGAAUGCAUCAAUGAAGCAUCAACAUGGGGAUCAGGGACACAAUUACGACAGCUAUUCAGCACAAUUUUAUGCCAUUGUGAGGUUACCAGCCCAAAGAUGUUGUGGGAUUCUACAUGGGAGGCACUAUCUGAAGAUAUCCAGUACAAAAGAAGAAUUAUCCUAAACUUUCCUACGCUGCAGCUCACUGAUUCACAAAAAAAAGCAUAUGCUCUGAUCGAGAUAAGAGAAACUAAUGAGGCAAGCAGGAAAGACACUAAAGGACUAUCCAGACAUAGAACUACCAAAUGCUACAGAACUUGAACAACUUGGGAACAGAAUGAUAAAUGAAGAACUUAGCUACGACAUGGAAGCACUAAAGAAUGAGCACCAAACCAUAAUAAGCAAUCUUAACCAUGACCAGAAAAUGGCCUUUGAUGCAAUAAUAGAGUCAGUUGAGAGAGGACACGGAAAACAGAUAUUUGUAGAAGGCUAUGGUGGCACAUGCAAAACUUAUCUAUGGAAAGCAAUUACAACGAAACUACGAUCAGAGGGAAAGAUAGUGCUUGCGGUAGCAUCAUCUGGCAUUGCAGCUUUGCUGCUCCAAGGUGGAAGAACAGCGCACUCAAGAUUCCACAUUCCAAUAAAUAUCACGGAAGAAUCAACAUGUGAAAUAAAACAAGGCUCACAUUUGGCUGAACUGGUAAAGAAGACCUCACUGAUAUUGUGGGACGAGGCUCCGAUGGCAAACAAACACUGCUUCGAGGCACUAGACAAAAGCCUUAGGGAUAUUCUAAGGUUCACAAACCAAAACAGUAACGAAAGGCCAUUCGGUGGCAUGACCGUGGUGCUAGGAGGCGACUUCAGACAAAUACUUCUAGUCAUAAAAAAAGGAAGGAGAGAGCAGGUAGUAAAUGCCUCAAUCAAAAGGUCAUACGUAUGGAAGCACUUCGAAAUAUUUAGCCUAACUGGAAAUAUGCGGUUGAAGUGCCUGUCAGAAGAUCCAAUACAAAAGCAAAAUGUGGCUGAAUUUGCAGAAUGGAUAUUACAAAUUGGCGAUGGAAAAAGAACAAACGAUGAAGGGGAUGAUUGGGUAAAAAUACCUAAAGACAUAAUUCUACAUAAAGGAGAAGACCCCAAAGAAGAGAUAGUCAAAAGAACGUCCCCAAACUUGCAACAAAACUACCGUGACUGUGAAUUUCUCGAAGAAAGAGCAAUACUAUGUCCAAGGAAUGAAACAGUUGAGAAGAUAAAUGACUACAUAAUGAGCCAAAUACAAGGGGAAGAGGUGACAUACCUAAGCUUGGACACUGUAUGCAAGGCAACAAUGAAGUACAACACAAUGGUGAAUAUGUGUCCAACAGAGUUUCUUAACAACAUGACCAUCCCAGGAAUUCCAAACCACGAGCUAAAACUGAAGGUAGGUUUGCCGGUGAUGCUCCUACGCAACAUCAAUCAAGCAGCAGGUUUAUGCAAUGUACAAGAAUGGCUAUUACAUAGCUGGGAAACAGGUAUAUUGAGGCACAAAUAAUCACAGGAACACAUGUCGGUGACAAGGUAUACAUACCUAAAAUCAUUAUGUCACCAAGCGACUCAAAGUGGCCCUUCGUGCUGAAAAGAAGGCAAUAUCCUCUAUCAGUUUGUUUUGCAAUGACAAUAAAUAAAAGCCAAGGUCAAUCCCUAAACAAGGUGGGUCUAUAUUUGCCUAAGCAAGUCUUCUGCCAUGGGCAACUAUAUGUGGCACUAUCAAGAGUCACAAGCAGAGAAGGAUUAAAGGUGCUGAUUGACGACACGGAGUGCCCAAGCGAAGAUAGCGCAAAGAAUAUAGUAUACAAAGAGAUCUUCUAAUUUUUUUGUUACUCAAGUAAAUGUAUAUCAGGGCC
rnacentral:lncRNA from 1 species